AUUCUCCUUGAUUCUCAGGAGCAGUUCUCUGAUCUCAUCUGCAAACUCUUUUGAUACUUUGGGAUAGAAUUUGUAUUAACAGAAGUUUUGAAGUCAUUCAGAAUGCCACAUGACCAACGUGGGGUCACCAAUUGGAACAGGGAAGAGAUGUGCACAAUGGCCCUCUCUCCAGCUUGUGUGAGCCGGCUCCAACACACAUCCUGUGGAGCGAGAGUUUGGUUGAAAUUUUUAAAAAAUGAAAUAGAACCACAAAGAAAAUAUCAGAACACAUUGCACUUAGUAAAGAACAAGGGGGAGUCUCCCUGCACAAGCUCUCUCUCUUUGCCUGCUGUCAUCCACCUAAGAUGUAACUUGCUCCUCCUUGCCUUCCACCAUGAUUGUGAGGCUUCCCCAGCCACGUGGAACUAAUGAGGCAGAAGUUACACUGUGCCAGUUUGGGCCCAGCUCUUCACAGGCCUGGCAGCUUCCACUUUUGCUCUCUUAAAAUCCAGCUUUCCUGCUGAAGAGGCUGCGUGGGGAAGAAUCCUGGAAAAUGACAGGACACCUUGAACAUUCAAGCCCUAGGUGAGCAGUCAGCUGAGUGCAACCACAUGAAGGAUCAUAGCUGACACAACCUAGUGCUGAGAAGAACUGGCCCUGCUGAGCCCUGACCAAAUUGUAGAAUUAUGAGCAAACACAUGGUAGCUUUAAGCCACAAAGUUUGAGGGUGUUUUCUUUUGUAAUAAUAAACAUUUGCUCUACUAUACA
rnacentral:lncRNA from 1 species